CCUUAGGGGCGUAAACACCUUUUAUGAGGGAGGAAGUUUUAUUGACGUUACCUCAUGAAUAAGGGGCUCCCAAUUCUGUGCCAGCAGGAGCGGUAAUACAGAAGCCCCGAGCAUUACCCGGAUUCACUGGGCGUAAAGGGUGCGUAGGCGGUUAUAUUAGUCGGGUGUUAAAUCUUUGGGCCCAACCCAAAGCUCGCAUUCGAAACGGUAUAACUAGAAGAAGUGAGAGGUGUGUGGAACUCAAGGUGUAGGGGUGAAAUCCGUUGAUAUCUUGGGGAACACCAAAUGCGAAGGCAACACACUGGCACUUUCUUGACGCUGAGGCACGAAAGCGUGGGUAGCGAAUGGGAUUAGAUACCCCAGUAGUCCACGCCCUAAACGCUGUCCGCUGGCUUUUUGGAGUAUCGACCCUCCGAGAGGCGAAGCUAACGCGUUAAGCGGACCGCCUGGGUAGUACGAUCGCAAGAUUAAAACUCAAAGGAAUAGACGGGGGCUCGCACAAGCGGUGGAUCAUGUGGCUUAAUUCGAUGCUACACGAGGAACCUUACCGAGGCUAGAAACUAUACUGCACGCUUCCAGAAAAGGAAGAAUCCUUCGAGGGUGUAUAGCAGGUGAUGCAUGGCCGUCGUCAGUUCGUGGCUUGAGCUGUUCCCUUAAGUGGGGAAACGAACGCAACCCUCGUUGUGUGUUACAAGUGUCACACGAGACUGCUCCCUCACGGGAGAGGAAGGUGAGGAUGACGCCAGGUCAGCAUGUCCCUUGAUGCCUCGGGCUGCACACAUGAUACAAUGGGUAGUACAACGAGAAGCAAUACCGUAAGGUGGAGCAAAUCUUUAUAAAACUAUCCCCAGUUCGGAUUGAGGUCUGCAACUCGACCUCAUGAAGUUGGAAUCGCUAGUAAUCGCGGAUCAGCUAUGCCGCGGUGAAUACGUUCCCGAGCCUUGUACUCACCGCCCGUCAAGUCAGGGGAGUCGGGAGUGCCCGAAGUCCCACGUAUGUGGGCCGACGGUAAGCUCGAUAACAAGGACUAAGUCGUAA
rnacentral:rRNA from 1 species